CACCAAUCGAGCCCAGCUCGGUGUUGGGGCACUGCUCUCGCCCGAGAGCAGGCCCUGAAAUCUAGUGGCGAGCUCGCCAGGACCCCGAGCGCAGUAGUUAAACCCUCGCUCUGGAAGGCCCUGGCGGUGCCCUGCCGUUAAACCCCCAACUCUUGAAA
rnacentral:misc_RNA from 1 species